CAGCCACAUCACGUUAAAACACCACUUCCUGUACGAACACCGAAGUUAAGCAAUGUCGAGCCAGGUCAGUACUAGAUGGGUGUGCGCUUAGGAAUAUCAGAUGCUGUAAG